UCAGUUGUUUCGCCUCCCCUGGUCCCUUCGUUUCGCCCCUGCUCCCCAGUCGCCUUCGCCGUCUCCGCCGUGGGUUGCAGCCGCCACAGCUCAUGAUCAACGCAACGAAUCCGUGAUCCGAUUGAAGCCAUGGAACGAGGUACGAGAUGCGAAUCCCAUUCCCCACGAUUUUUGCCCUGACUCCUCUAUUUGACAAUGCUAUUAGGGCGCACGAGAUAGGGUUUCCCUCCCCUGUCUCGUCUGGUCGUUUUGAGAUUGUAGAUGUUAGGUGAUUUGGUUGGGGUUGGGUGAUUUUCAUAGGUCUUGUUGUAUGUUAGAAGUGAAGGUAGAAAAAAGUUCAGAGUUCUAAGUAUGGACUUAAGUCUGAAACAGUAGUCAUUUGUUUGUUCCCUGUGUGGUCAAAUUCUGAAGAAAGAAAAGGUUCGGUUUUAAGUCCGAAACUCUGUUUUUUGUAGUAGCUAUAUGUUUUAUAUACUGAAGGUAGUUUGUUCCUUGUCUAGUCAAAUUCUGAAGAAAGGAAAAGUGUGGUCACUCUAUUUUCUGAGUACUGACAUCCAUGUAGUAGCUAUGUAAUGAAGGUAUUUAUGUUUAUUGGCAGCGAGAAAUUUAAAUCAAGCUUGUUCUUUUUCAACUGUUCAACUGAUGCCAUGAAACUAAACUGACAGUAAUUGGAAACUCUAUUUCUUGACUUUGAAAUUGUGUUACAUCUACUACUACGUCUGCACUAUGUAAAACAAAUUCAGUUAUAAGUAGCUGAAUUCAGUAAAAUCUACGUAUGCAUCUGCUACUACAUCUACAUCUGCAUCAUUGGUAACAUCUGCUACUACAUCUACAUCCGAAACAAACUGACAGUAGUUGAAUUCCAACUGCCGCCAAAGUUUCUUUGCUAAUAUAUCUUCUACUUUUGGGACAAUGGUUAGUUCCAUAUUUUUGCUUACUUUCCUGUUUUUUUAAUUUCCACAUAACCAGCAGAAUUUGCUUGCUUCCCUAUUUUUCUAAUUCCACAUAACGCAUACUUUUCUUACUUCCCUGCUUAUUUAGUUCCACAUAACCAGCAAAUUUUGUACUUGUGUAGGAGCAUGUUCAAGCACCAAGGAAGAAAUCAAAAGGUGAUGUUGUUGCUGAUCAGAAGGGAAAAGGUCAUGUUGUUGCACAGAAGAAGCAUGCAGCGAUUGUUGCUCUAGGAGGCUUGAAUAUGGAUUUAGGGCAAACUCUCAACCAUUUUCCCAACUCUCUCACUGUGUUUUCACCCUUGCAGCUUUAAGGCUGCAAAAGGACCCUCUUCAAUCUUCAUCACAUAAGUGAAUGUUCAGUCUUCUCUCCUAUUGGUCUAGUGACAAACUUGUAUUUUGGCAAAUCACAAUGACAAGCUUAUCUCCUAUUGGUCUAGUAACAAACUUGUAUUAUGGCAAAUCAUAGUCACAAACUUGACCUCUGUUAUGACCGGGCAGACUUAUGCCCGUAGGAGGCCCACCGGGCAGGCUUAGUUAGGGGCUUAGCCCACAAGUUAUCUUAGUUUUAUUUCACAUUGUGGUUAUAUAAACAAGUUGUAAGACUCUUUUGAGAAUUAAGCAAUAAGACAAUUCUAUUGCCCGGCUCCCAGAGGAGCC
rnacentral:lncRNA from 1 species